GCCGUUAUAGCUCAACAGGAAGAGCGGCUGAUUUGUAAUCAGCAGGUUGCGGGUUCGAUUCCUGCUGACGGCUCCA
rnacentral:tRNA from 1 species